rnacentral:rRNA from 1 species
AGUGAACGCUGGCGGUAGGCCUAACACAUGCAAGUCGAACGGCAGCACAGUAAGAGCUUGCUCUUACGGGUGGCGAGUGGCGGACGGGUGAGGAAUACAUCGGAAUCUACUUUUUCGUGGGGGAUAACGUAGGGAAACUUACGCUAAUACCGCAUACGACCUACGGGUGAAAGCAGGGGAUCUUCGGACCUUGCGCGAUUGAAUGAGCCGAUGUCGGAUUAGCUAGUUGGCGGGGUAAAGGCCCACCAAGGCGACGAUCCGUAGCUGGUCUGAGAGGAUGAUCAGCCACACUGGAACUGAGACACGGUCCAGACUCCUACGGGAGGCAGCAGUGGGGAAUAUUGGACAAUGGCCGCAAGCCUGAUCCAGCCAUACCGCGUGGGUGAAGAAGGCCUUCGGGUUGUAAAGCCCUUUUGUUGGGAAAGAAAAGCAGCAGGUUAAUACCCCGCUGUUCUGACGGUACCCAAAGAAUAAGCACCGGCUAACUUCGUG